UACGUAGGGCGCAAGCGUUGUCCGGAAUUAUUGGGCGUAAAGAGCUCGUAGGCGGUCUGUCGCGUCGGAUGUGAAAGCCCGGGGCUUAACCCCGGGUCUGCAUUCGAUACGGGCAGACUAGAGUGUGGUAGGGGAGAUCGGAAUUCCUGGUGUAGCGGUGAAAUGCGCAGAUAUCAGGAGGAACACCCGUGGCGAAAGCGGCUCACUGGCUCGUAACUGACGCUCAAGCGCGACAGCGUGGGGAUCAAACAGG
rnacentral:rRNA from 1 species